UACAGAGGGGGCAAGCGUUGUUCGGAAUUACUGGGCGUAAAGGGCGCGUAGGCGGCUUGUUAAGUCGGACGUGAAAUCCCUCGGCUCAACCGGGGAACUGCGUCCGAAACUGGCGGGCUUGAGUUCGGGAGAGGGAUGUGGAAUUCCAGGUGUAGCGGUGAAAUGCGUAGAUAUCUGGAGGAACACCGGUGGCGAAGGCGGCAUCCUGGACCGACAUUGACGCUGAGGCGCGAAAGCCAGGGGAGCAAACGGG
rnacentral:rRNA from 1 species